ACAGCAGCAGCCGCGGGAAUACGAAGGGUGCAAGCGUUACUCGGAAUUACUGGGCGUAAAGCGUGCGUAGGUGGUGGUUUAAGUCCGUUGUGAAAGCCCUGGGCUCAACCUGGGAAUUGCAGUGGAUACUGGGUCACUAGAGUGUGGUAGAGGAUAGUGGAAUUUCCGGUGUAGCAGUGAAAUGCGUAGAGAUCGGAAGGAACAUCUGUGGCGAAGGCGACUAUCUGGGCCAACACUGACACUGAGGCACGAAAGCGUGGGGAGCAAACAGGAUUAGAACCCCCGUAGUCCCUGUCUCUUAUACA
rnacentral:rRNA from 1 species